CCUACGGGAGGCAGCAGUGGGGAAUAUUGGGCAAUGGGCGCAAGCCUGACCCAGCAACGCCGCGUGAAGGAAGAAGGCCCUCGGGUUGUGAACUUCUUUUAUCAAGGACGAAACAAAUGACGGUACUUGAUGAAUAAGCCACGGCUAUCUACGUGCCAGCAGCCGCGGUAAUACGUAGGUGGCAAGCGUUGUCCGGAUUUACUGGGUGUAAAGGGCGUGUAGCCGGGCUGACAAGUCAGAUGUGAAAUCCGGGGGCUCAACCCCCGAACUGCAUUUGAAACUGUUGGUCUUGAGUAUCGGAGAGG
rnacentral:rRNA from 1 species